UGAACUUGUUAUCAGUAUAAAAGACACCUGUCCACAACCUCAAACAGUCACACUCCAAACUCCUGGAUAAAACACUGACAAUGAUGUUGUGAAAAGCCACUCCAGAAAGGGAUAACAAAGCCUGAUAACUCUGCUGUUGUUGUGGGUUCCUCACAGCCCUGGGGACAUGUAGAUGGGGACCCCCAGUGGGCAUGGAGGCGACAGCCCUGUUCUAAUACCUGCAUCCUUCCUCCCUUCCAUGAAUUGCCCUAGACACUGAUCUGACACAAGCUCGGUGGGAAUAGUCAGUAUGGUGUUUAUAGCGGAGAGCCACAGGGUCAUUUGAACUGGUUGUAACUGGUUUGAGCCUGAGAAGAACACUGAAGACUAGAAUACAGACUUGUGCUCCAUUCCUCAGCUUCUGUCUCUGACCUCCUGUCUGUGUAGUCACUCACUCUGUGAUUGACAUCAGAACAAGAGAGUAGGAGCUGAUCUCUCUUCCUGAGUGUCAGAAAGUAAAUAAAAUGGCAUACCUCAACCUAUUGAA